UUGAAAGCUAAAGAUAAAACUAUCAGGGAAAGUCCCAAAGAUAGGUCCAACCCGAUCCUAUUCUAUAAACUAAACAAUAAAAACAAACAAAUUAUCUAGAAACAAAAUAGGAAAGUAGAAAAUGUUGUCUUUUCAUCUGCUUCACCAAAUCAAUCGAAGCUCCCCAUCAUCCAUGGCAUAUUCAAAUCAGAUCGAGGAAGAUGAAGUGAAAUAAACCCAAUAGAAGACUUCUUUGACUCUACUAUCCAUAGAAACGAGAUCAUAAAGUCAAGAUAAGUAUACUUCACCCUCUAAAUUCUUAAAAGUAUCCACUUUAAACUAUUAGUUUCACCACCAUCUUGUAUUCUUGAUAGGUUGACCUCAACAUGAAGCUAAUAUCACUGCCUAAGAAGGGCAAAAUGACGGAUCUACUUCCAGUUUGGAUAGGCGUGUAACAAUUACCGUUUUCCUCCUUCAUUAGAAUUUGCAUGCAAUUUCUACCAUUGACAAUUAAUGUGAUUGCCUUUUGUGAUUUUCUAUUGUAUCUUUCCUUUUUAUGCUCUCCCAUAUGCUAUUCCAUAUUUCAUGUAUUGGCUUUGUUGUUCCUUGACUGUGAAUUCCCUGUUAUUGGCUUCAACCUCUCUUUAAUGUGCUUCUACUACUGA